rnacentral:rRNA from 1 species
GAUGAACGCUGGCGGCGUGCCUAAUACAUGCAAGCCGAGCGAACGGACGAGAAGCUUGCUUCUCUGAUGUUAGCGGCGGACGGGUGAGUAACACGUGGAUAACCUACCUAUAAGACUGGGAUAACUUCGGGAAACCGGAGCUAAUACCGGAUGAUAUUUUGAACCGCAUGGUUCAAAAGUGAAAGACGGUCUUGCUGUCACUUAUAGAUGGAUCCGCGCUGCAUUAGCUAGUUGGUAAGGUAACGGCUUACCAAGGCAACGAUGCAUAGCCGACCUGAGAGGGUGAUCGGCCACACUGGAACUGAGACACGGUCCAGACUCCUACGGGAGGCAGCAGUAGGGAAUCUUCCGCAAUGGGCGAGAGCCUGACGGAGCAACGCCGCGUGAGUGAUGAAGGUCUUCGGAUCGUAAAACUCUGUUAUUAGGGAAGAACAUAUGUGUAAGUAACUGUGCACAUCUUGACGGUACCUAAUCAGAAAGCCACGGCUAACUACGUG